rnacentral:rRNA from 1 species
AGCGAACGCUGGCGGCAGGCUUAACACAUGCAAGUCGAACGCCUGUAGCAAUACGGGAGUGGCAGACGGGUGAGUAACGCGUGGGAACGUGCCCUUUGGUUCGGGAUAACCCAGGGAAACUUGGGCUAAUACCGGAUACGUCCCUAACGGGAGAAAGACUUAUUGCCGAAGGAUCGGCCCGCGUCCGAUUAGCUAGUUGGUGGGGUAAUGGCUCACCAAGGCGACGAUCGGUAGCUGGUCUGAGAGGAUGAUCAGCCACACUGGGACUGAGACACGGCCCAGACUCCUACGGGAGGCAGCAGUGGGGAAUAUUGGACAAUGGGCGCAAGCCUGAUCCAGUCAUGCCGCGUGGGUGAUGAAGGCCCUAGGGUUGUAAAGCCCUUUCGGCGGGGAAGAUAAUGACGGUACCCGCAGAAGAAGCCCCGGCUAACUUCGUGCCAGCAGCCGCAGUAAGAC